GGGAAGGAAUAGCAGGGGUGCACAAGUGCUCUGACAAGCACUGCUAUGAGCAGGUUCCACCUCUUGAGCUGCACCAGCUAGCACACCCCAUGAGUUGGAAUAUGCAUCCAAAGAAGUAGUGUCACAGAGAGAAAUACUGUGAAGAUUUGUAAACAACAUGCUAUUCAUUCGGACUGUGGUCUUAGGUUAUGGUGCGUGGUCUUUUGGGAGGAGGUGGGGGCAUGAGUUCAGCGUCAGGAUCCAGGUGAUGUUUUUGCAUCUGUCCUUGAGAAGCUGCUGUACACCUAUCAAUGAACUCAAACAACAUUUCCUUUGUGACUGGAUUUUGGAUGCUGUUACAUACAGCUGGGAACAAAGAACACAUUUUGACGUUAUUAAACUGAUCGGCUGCAUGCAACUUGAACAAUUUGAUCCUGUAUUUGCAAAAUAAAUGACAGUAUUUGGCACAAA